rnacentral:rRNA from 1 species
UACGGAGGGUGCAAGCGUUAUCCGGAUUUACUGGGUUUAAAGGGUGUGUAGGCGGAUUUUUAAGUCAGAGGUGAAAUCUCCAGGCUCAACCUGGAAACUGCCCCUGAUACUAUUAGUCUUGAAUAUUGAUGAGGUGGGCGGAACGGGUCAUGUAGCGGUGAAAUGCUUAGAGAUGACCCGGAACACCGGUGGCGAAGGCGGGUCUCUGGGCCGAUACUGACGCUGAGGAGCGAAAGCGUGGGGAGCGAACAGG